rnacentral:misc_RNA from 1 species
GAUGAAGAACGUAGCGAAAUGCGAUACUUGGUGUGAAUUGCAGAAUCCCAUGAACCAUCGAGUCUUUGAACGCAAGUUGCGCCCGAAGCCUCGGCUAAGGGCACGUCUGCCUGGGCGUCACGCAUCGCGUCUCCCCCAAACCGCCAAGGCGGAGGGGAAGGAAGAUGGCUUCCCGUGCCUCACCCGGCGCGGUUGGCCUAAAUUUGGAGCCCGCGGCACUUAGCUCACGCGGCGAUAGGUGGUGAACAAGGCCUUGGCCGUGCAAACAACCCGCUGCGAAGCUCUAUGUCACGUGCGCUCGUCGGACCCUUUGAAGUUGCCUUCGGUGACUUAAAACCUUCGCGACCCCAGGUCAGGCGGGGCUACCCGCUGAAUUUAAGCAUAUCAAUAAGCGGAGGA